rnacentral:snRNA from 1 species
GUGCGUCCACAGUAAGGAAACGUGUACCCUAAAAUUUGAAUAAUACUGAGAUUAGCAUGGGCCCCGAGCACGGGUGACAUGCAAUUUCAUCAAGCAUUUCAUAUUUUA